rnacentral:sRNA from 1 species
ACGGAUGGGGAGGCCACUGACAGUGGCAACAUCGAUGCGGCCAAAGACAUCAUCCGCUACAUCAUCGGGAUUGGAAAGCAUUUUCAGACCAAGGAGAGUCAGGAGACCCUCCACAAAUUUGCAUCGAAACCCGCGAGCGAGUUUGUGAAGAUUCUGGACACAUUUGAGAAGCUGAAAGAUCUAUUCACUGAGCUGCAGAAGAAGAUCUAUGUCAUUGAGGGCACAAGCAAACAGGACCUGACUUCUUUCAACAUGGAGCUGUCCUCCAGCGGCAUCAGUGCUGACCUCAGCAGGGUGCGUGCUGGGCUGGAGCAAUGGGCUGCAGGGAGUGCACUUGGCUCCGGGGGGUGGGUCGGUGGGUAGCUGAUCCGCUUAUCUCCUUCCCUGGGCAGGGCCAUGCAGUCGUGGGGGCAGUAGGAGCCAAGGACUGGGCUGGGGGCUUU